rnacentral:rRNA from 1 species
GAAAGUAAUGAAGGGCGUACGGUGGAUGCCUAGGCUCUUACAGGCGAUGAAGGACGUGAUAAGCUGCGAAAAGCCGCGGUGAGGCGCAAAUGGCCCUUGACCCGCGGAUCUCCGAAUGGGACAACCCAAUAUCUUGAAGAGAUAUUAUCCCGCCGGUGCGGGAGGCGAACGCGGGGAACUGAAACAUCUUAGUACCCGCAGGAAAAGAAAAUAAAGAAUGAUUCCCCCAGUAGUGGCGAGCGACCGGGGAAGAGCCCAAACCGACGUUGUCUCGGCAUCGUCGGGGUUGUAGGACCGCGCCAUCGCAAGAAAGGCCGUGAGUGGAAGCGACUGGAAAGCCGCGCCAUAGAGGGUGACAGCCCCUUACACGAAGCAGCCUGAAGCGUAGCGGACUCCUGAGUAGCGCGGGACACGAGUAAUCCUGUGUGAAUCCGCCGGGCCCAUCCGGCAAGGCUAAAUACUCGUAAGAGACCGAUAGUGAACCAGUACCGUGAGGGAAAGGUGAAAAGGACCCCUUGCAGGGGAGUGAAAGAGUUCCUGAAACCGUACGCCUACAAGCGGUCGGAGCAUCUUGAAUGAUGUGACGGCGUGCCUUUUGCAUAAUGAACCUACGAGUUGCCGUCACCAGCGAGGUUAAGUGCGACGACGCACCGAGCCGCAGCGGAAGCGAGUCUUAAAAGGGCGCGAUAGUUGGUGGAGGCAGACGCGAAACCGAGUGAUCUACACUUGUCCAGGAUGAAGUCCCGGUAACACGGGAUGGAGGUCCGCACCAAUAAGCGUUGAAAAGCUUCUGGAUGAGGUGAGUGUAGGAGUGAAAGGCCAAUCAAACUCGGAGAUAGCUCGUACUCCCCGAAAGGCAUUUAGGUGCCGCCUGUGGCGUUCCCGACGUGAGGUAGAGCGACUGAUAGGAUGCGAGGGCUUCACCGCCUAUCAAGUCCUGACAAACUCCGAAUGCACGUCGGCCAAGCCAUGGAGUAAGGGCAUGGGUGCUAAGGUCCGUGCCCGAGAGGAGAAGAAUCCAGACCACCGGCUAAGGUCCCGAAAUACUGGUUAAGUUAGACUAACGCAGUCCGGCCCCCAAGACAGCUAGGAUGUUGGCUUGGAAGCAGCCAUUCAUUCAAAGAGUGCGUAACAGCUCACUAGUCGAGGAGCUGGGCGUGGAUAAUAAUCGGGUAUAAAACCAGUUACCGAAGCCGUGGGAUGCUCAAGCAUCGGUAGGGGAGCAUUGCAUGCGGCUUGGAAGGCGGGGCGCGAGCCCCUCUGGAGCGCAUGGAAACGCAAAUGUAGGUAUAAGUAACGACAAGGGGGGUGGGAUGCCCCCCCGCCGAAAGACCAAGGUUUCCUGAACAACGCUAAUCGGUUCAGGGUCAGUCGGGUCCUAAGCAUAAGCCGUAUGGCGAGGGCGAUGGAUGAAACGGUUAAUAUUCCGUUACUGUCUUGGUGUGUGACGCGGCGACGGAGUAGUGACACGGCCGCCUCCUGACGGAAAAGGGGGUUGAAGCGCAAAGGUGUCGAGGAAGGCAGGCAAAUCCACCUUCCGAGCCGAAGCGCGAUAGUACGCCGGGCCCUUUGGGGCAAGGCGAUAGUGCCGGUAAUCAGACUUCCAAGAAAACCCGCUAAACUUCAGCACCAAGUCACCCGUACUCCAAACGGACACACGUGGUCGGGUAGAAUAUACUAAGGCGCUUGGGAGAUUCACGGUUAAGGAACUAGGCAAAUUGACCCCGUACCUUCGGAAUAAGGGGUCCUCGCUUUUGCGAGGCGCAGAGAAUAGGUCCAGGCAACUGUUUAACAAAAACACAGGGCUGUGCCAAUUUGAAAGAAGAAGUAUACAGCCUGACACCUGCCCGGUGCCGGAAGGUUAAGAGGAGAGCUCAUCAGCGAUGAGAAGGCUUGAAUUGAAGCCCCGGUAAACGGCGGCCGUAACUAUAACGGUCCUAAGGUAGCGAAAUUCCUUGUCGGGU